GUACACAUGCACGAAUCUCUCUCUCUCUCUCUCUCUCUCUCUCUCUCUGUGUGUGUGUGUGUGUGUGUGAGAGAGAGAGAGAGACAGAGAGAGAGAGAGAGAGAGAGAGUAUGUAUAUAGAU
rnacentral:miRNA from 1 species